rnacentral:rRNA from 1 species
UACGAAGGGGGCUAGCGUUGCUCGGAAUGACUGGGCGUAAAGGGCGCGUAGGCGGACGGCUUUGUCGGGCGUGAAAUUCCAGGGCUUAACCUUGGGGCUGCGUUCGAGACGGGUUGUCUAGAGUUUGGAAGAGGGUCGUGGAAUUCCCAGUGUAGAGGUGAAAUUCGUAGAUAUUGGGAAGAACACCGAUGGCGAAGGCAGCCAUCUGGACCGACACUGACGCUGAGGCGCGAAAGCGUGGGGAGCAAACAGG